rnacentral:rRNA from 1 species
CUGGAGGUAUCAGAAGUGCGAAUGCUGACAUAAGUAACGAUAAAGCGGGUGAAAAGCCCGCUCGCCGGAAGACCAAGGGUUCCUGUCCAACGUUAAUCGGGGCAGGGUGAGUCGACCCCUAAGGCGAGGCCGAAAGGCGUAGUCGAUGGGAAACAGGUUAAUAUUCCUGUACUUGGUGUUACUGCGAAGGGGGGACGGAGAAGGCUAUGUUGGCCGGGCGACGGUUGUCCCGGUU